CAUAGGUUAAUGAGGCGAACCGGGGGAACUGAAACAUCUAAGUACCCCGAGGAAAAGAAAUCAACCGAGAUUCCCCCAGUAGCGGCGAGCGAACGGGGAGCAGCCCAGAGCCUGAAUCAGUGUGUGUGUUAGUGGAAGCGUCUGGAAAGGCGCGCGAUACAGGGUGACAGCCCCGUACACAAAAAUGCACAUACUGUGAGCUCGAUGAGUAGGGCGGGACACGUGGUAUCCUGUCUGAAUAUGGGGGGACCAUCCUCCAAGGCUAAAUACUCCUGACUGACCGAUAGUGAACCAGUACCGUGAGGGAAAGGCGAAAAGAACCCCGGCGAGGGGAGUGAAAAAGAACCUGAAACCGUGUACGUACAAGCAGUGGGAGCACGCUUAGGCGUGUGACUGCGUACCUUUUGUAUAAUGGGUCAGCGACUUAUAUUCUGUAGCAAGGUUAACCGAAUAGGGGAGCCGAAGGGAAACCGAGUCUUAACUGGGCGUUAAGUUGCAGGGUAUAGACCCGAAACCCGGUGAUCUAGCCAUGGGCAGGUUGAAGGUUGGGUAACACUAACUGGAGGACCGAACCGACUAAUGUUGAAAAAUUAGCGGAUGACUUGUGGCUGGGGGUGAAAGGCCAAUCAAACCGGGAGAUAGCUGGUUCUCCCCGAAAGCUAUUUAGGUAGCGCCUCGUGAAUUCAUCUCCGGGGGUAGAGCACUGUUUCGGCAAGGGGGUCAUCCCGACUUACCAACCCGAUGCAAACUGCGAAUACCGGAGAAUGUUAUCACGGGAGACACACGGCGGGUGCUAACGUCCGUCGUGAAGAGGGAAACAACCCAGACCGCCAGCUAAGGUCCCAAAGUCAUGGUUAAGUGGGAAACGAUGUGGGAAGGCCCAGACAGCCAGGAUGUUGGCUUAGAAGCAGCCAUCAUUUAAAGAAAGCGUAAUAGCUCACUGGUCGAGUCGGCCUGCGCGGAAGAUGUAACGGGGCUAAACCAUGCACCGAAGCUGCGGCAGCGACGCUGAUGCGUUGUUGGGUAGGGGAGCGUUCUGUAAGCCUGUGAAGGUGUGCUGUGAGGCAUGCUGGAGGUAUCAGAAGUGCGAAUGCUGACAUAAGUAACGAUAAAGCGGGUGAAAAGCCCGCUCGCCGGAAGACCA
rnacentral:rRNA from 1 species